GGGUUGUGAGGUUAAGCGACUAAGCGUACACGGUGGAUGCCCUGGCAGUCAGAGGCGAUGAAGGACGUGCUAAUCUGCGAAAAGCGCCGGCGAGGUGAUAUGAACCUUUGACCCGGCGAUGUCCGAAUGGGGAAACCCAGUGCAAUUCGUUGCACUAUCGUUAACUGAAUACAUAGGUUAACGAGGCGAACCGGGGGAACUGAAACAUCUAAGUACCCCGAGGAAAAGAAAUCAACCGAGAUUCCCCCAGUAGCGGCGAGCGAACGGGGAGCAGCCCAGAGUCUGAAUCAGCUUGUGUGUUAGUGGAAGCGUCUGGAAAGUCGCACGGUACAGGGUGACAGUCCCGUACACGAAAGCACACAGGUUGUGAACUCGAAGAGUAGGGCGGGACACGUGGUAUCCUGUCUGAAUAUGGGGGGACCAUCCUCCAAGGCUAAAUACUCCUGACUGACCGAUAGUGAACCAGUACCGUGAGGGAAAGGCGAAAAGAACCCCGGCGAGGGGAGUGAAAAAGAACCUGAAACCGUGUACGUACAAGCAGUGGGAGCACCUUCGUGGUGUGACUGCGUACCUUUUGUAUAAUGGGUCAGCGACUUAUAUUCUGUAGCAAGGUUAACCGUAUAGGGGAGCCGAAGGGAAACCGAGUCUUAACUGGGCGUUAAGUUGCAGGGUAUAGACCCGAAACCCGGUGAUCUAGCCAUGGGCAGGUUGAAGGUUGGGUAACACUAACUGGAGGACCGAACCGACUAAUGUUGAAAAAUUAGCGGAUGACUUGUGGCUGGGGGUGAAAGGCCAAUCAAACCGGGAGAUAGCUGGUUCUCCCCGAAAGCUAUUUAGGUAGCGCCUCGUGAACUCAUCUUCGGGGGUAGAGCACUGUUUCGGCUAGGGGGCCAUCCCGGCUUACCAACCCGAUGCAAACUACGAAUACCGAAGAAUGUUAUCACGGGAGACACACGGCGGGUGCUAACGUCCGUCGUGAAGAGGGAAACAACCCAGACCGCCAGCUAAGGUCCCAAAGUCAUGGUUAAGUGGGAAACGAUGUGGGAAGGCACAGACAGCCAGGAUGUUGGCUUAGAAGCAGCCAUCAUUUAAAGAAAGCGUAAUAGCUCACUGGUCGAGUCGGCCUGCGCGGAAGAUGUAACGGGGCUAAACCAUGCACCGAAGCUGCGGCAGCGACGCGUAUGCGUUGUUGGGUAGGGGAGCGUUCUGUAAGCCGUUGAAGGUGGCCUGUGAGGGUUGCUGGAGGUAUCAGAAGUGCGAAUGCUGACAUAAGUAACGAUAAAGCGGGUGAAAAGCCCGCUCGCCGGAAGACCAAGGGUUCCUGUCCAACGUUAAUCGGGGCAGGGUGAGUCGACCCCUAAGGCGAGGCCGAAAGGCGUAGUCGAUGGGAAACAGGUUAAUAUUCCUGUACUUGGUGUUACUGCGAAGGGGGGACGGAGAAGGCUAUGUUAGCCGGGCGACGGUUGUCCCGGUUUAAGCAUGUAGGCGGAGGUUCCAGGUAAAUCCGGUACCUUUUAACGCUGAGGUGUGAUGACGAGGCACUACGGUGCUGAAGUAACAAAUGCCCUGCUUCCAGGAAAAGCCUCUAAGCAUCAGGUAACAUUAAAUCGUACCCCAAACCGACACAGGUGGUCAGGUAGAGAAUACCAAGGCGCUUGAGAGAACUCGGGUGAAGGAACUAGGCAAAAUGGUGCCGUAACUUCGGGAGAAGGCACGCUGAUAUGUAGGUGAAGCCCCUGCGGGUGGAGCUGAAAUCAGUCGAAGAUACCAGCUGGCUGCAACUGUUUAUUAAAAACACAGCACUGUGCAAACACGAAAGUGGACGUAUACGGUGUGACGCCUGCCCGGUGCCGGAAGGUUAAUUGAUGGGGUUAGCGGCAACGCGAAGCUCUUGAUCGAAGCCCCGGUAAACGGCGGCCGUAACUAUAACGGUCCUAAGGUAGCGAAAUUCCUUGUCGGGUAAGUUCCGACCUGCACGAAUGGCGUAAUGAUGGCCAGGCUGUCUCCACCCGAGACUCAGUGAAAUUGAACUCGCUGUGAAGAUGCAGUGUACCCGCGGCAAGACGGAAAGACCCCGUGAACCUUUACUAUAGCUUGACACUGAACACUGGUCCUUGAUGUGUAGGAUAGGUGGGAGGCUUUGAAGCGUGGACGCCAGUCUGCGUGGAGCCGUCCUUGAAAUACCACCCUUUAAUGGCUGGUGUUCUAACGUAGACCCGUGAUCCGGGUUGCGGACAGUGUCUGGUGGGUAGUUUGACUGGGGCGGUCUCCUCCCAAAGAGUAACGGAGGAGCACGAAGGUUAGCUAAUCCUGGUCGGACAUCAGGAGGUUAGUGCAAUGGCAUAAGCUAGCUUGACUGCGAGAGUGACGGCUCGAGCAGGUGCGAAAGCAGGUCAUAGUGAUCCGGUGGUUCUGAAUGGAAGGGCCAUCGCUCAACGGAUAAAAGGUACUCCGGGGAUAACAGGCUGAUACCGCCCAAGAGUUCAUAUCGACGGCGGUGUUUGGCACCUCGAUGUCGGCUCAUCACAUCCUGGGGCUGAAGUAGGUCCCAAGGGUAUGGCUGUUCGCCAUUUAAAGUGGUACGCGAGCUGGGUUUAGAACGUCGUGAGACAGUUCGGUCCCUAUCUGCCGUGGGCGCUGGAGAAUUGAGGGGGGCUGCUCCUAGUACGAGAGGACCGGAGUGGACGCAUCACUGGUGUUCGGGUUGUCAUGCCAAUGGCACUGCCCGGUAGCUAAAUGCGGAAAAGAUAAGUGCUGAAAGCAUCUAAGCACGAAACUUGCCCCGAGAUGAGUUCUCCCUGACUCCUUGAGAGUCCUGAAGGAACGUUGAAGACGACGACGUUGAUAGGUCGGGUGUGUAAGCGCAGCGAUGCGUUGAGCUAACCGAUACUAAUGAACCGUGAGGCUUAACCUUACAACGCCGAAGGUGUUU
rnacentral:rRNA from 1 species